GAGACAGCAGCAGCCGCGGGAAUACGUAGGUCCCGAGCGUUGUCCGGAUUUAUUGGGCGUAAAGCGAGCGCAGGCGGUUAGAUAAGUCUGAAGUUAAAGGCUGUGGCUUAACCAUAGUACGCUUUGGAAACUGUUUAACUUGAGUGUAAGAGGGGAGAGUGGAAUUCCAUGUGUAGCGGUGAAAUGCGUAGAUAUAUGGAGGAACACCGGUGGCGAAAGCGGCUCUCUGGCUUGUAACUGACGCUGAGGCUCGAAAGCGUGGGGAGCAAACAGGAUUAGAUACCCCGGUAGUCCCUGUCUCUUAUACA
rnacentral:rRNA from 1 species